UUAAAGCUAGCCUGGCUACACAGUAAUACUAUCUUAAAUUGAUAAAAUUCAGAAAGAAAAUAAAAAAAUCCUUGGUGUGUUCAGAGGGCCCUAGUUCCGGUAAAGAGGGAGUAGGGCUAGGCGAAAGUGAUGGAGUGGGCUUGUUUCCAGCCGGGAGACCUGAACAGAGCACGCUGUAGAGUGCAGUGGGGUAAGCAGGGGGGAGGUUAGGAAUACGGGCUGAGGAGGCGGAGAGGCACCGCACCCAGCGUCACAGGCACGAAAAGCGACGGAGCUCCUGCCAGGUCGGACCAGUCUCAGAAAAGCGAGGAGCGUCAACAGGAAAGACAGUGCUGAGCUUUUGGGGCUGCUGAGAAAAGGCUGAAAGAGCUGGACUUGACUUCCCGCGCGCCAGCGGAAGGCACAGCAGUUGACAGACAGCCUCACCAGACAGCCCCGUCCUUCCUGAGAGAAGGGCGCCGCACCGGAAAGGGAGGAACCACGCACUGCUCGUCCCGCGUGCCGCUCUGGCGUCAGCAGUAGAAGGCGGAAGCGUAGUCUUCAGGAUGCGGUUCCUGGUUGCGUUGCUCCUGCUGCGUGUCGCAGGGACGGGAGCUCCCUUGGCCCCUUCUCAGUCAGACGCCAACCCGGGAAAAGAAAAUCCACCACUUACGCCUUCCGCAGGCUCCAACCAUCUCCCCACGCCCCAGCUCUCACACGAAGACCUCAAGUUGAUCGAGCAAAAGCUAGCCGUUAAGGAAGUCCGGGGCAAAACUGGGGAUCCGAGCAAGGCAGCAAAUCCCGAUUUGGCCAGGUUCGAGGAACAGACCACUGCAACAGAUCUCGAGUCGGCCAAACCCCGAGCGCAGACCGCUGCAACAGAUCCCGAGUCCGCCAAGCCCCGAGCGCAGACCGCUGCAACAGAUCCGGAGUCAGCCAAGCCCGGACCGCAGACCGCUGCAGCAGAUCCCGAGUCCGCCAAACCCCGACCGCAGACCGCUGCAACAGAUCCCGAGUCGGCCAAGCCCCGAGCGCAGACCACUGCAACGGAUCCAGAGUCCAGAGCACAGGCCCCUGCAGCUGAUCCAGAGUCAGCCGGACAUGAAUCGCGGACCACCGCAACUGAUCCCAAGUUGGCUGGGUCCGGAGAGCAGACCGCCAUAUCUGAUCUCAAGUCAGGAGGCCUUGAACAGCAGACCCCGCCAGAAGACCCUAAGCCCCAUGACAAUGCGCAGGAAUCCCCAAAAGAUGUUUUGAUCUCCAAUCCCUCUUCAGAUAAGGAGACCCCCAAGAAUGACAAGACCCACCUACCUGAAAAAGAACCGUCAUCUGCGCAUACUUCUAAAACUGAGAUUGGGGAGAGACAGACAGUGGCCUCUGACCUCCCUUUGACUCAGGAAAGAGAAGAUAAAUCUUCAGAGCCUACUGAAGAUGUGGAUCCUAAGGAGGCUGAAGAAGGUGACACAGAGCCUGAAGAGGGCUCGCCUCUUGAAGAAGAGAAUGAAAAGGUGCUGAGCCCUUCCUUCAGUGGGAACCGGGAAGGGACACAUCUGGAUCCUGUGAAUAGCGAGGAUAACUCUUACAAGGAUAAUCCUGGAAGUGCCAAUGCAGAGAGCAGCCACUUCUUUGCAUAUCUGGUGACUGCGGCUGUUCUUGUUGCUGUCCUCUAUAUUGCCUACCACAACAAACGAAAGGUAAGAGGAGAAGCUUGGUUCCUGGGCAAGUGCCUGUCUCUGCCUGUGAGCCCAC
rnacentral:lncRNA from 1 species